rnacentral:rRNA from 1 species
CUCAUUAAAUCAGUUAUAGUUUAUUUGAUGGUCUCUUUGUCUUUUUUUUACCUACUUGGAUAACCGUGUAAUUCUAGAGCUAAUACAUGCGCAAGGUCCCAAGCGCGGAGGGUAGGGCUUCACGGCUCUAUUCUUGCAUGCGUAGCGGGAUGUAUUUAUUAGGUUAAACAACCAGCUAUUUUUUCAUUUCUGGUGAUUCAUAGUAACUCUUUCGGAUCGCAUUCAUG